rnacentral:rRNA from 1 species
UACGAAGGGAGCUAGCGUUGUUCGGAAUUACUGGGCGUAAAGGGCGCGUAGGCGGCUCUUUUAGUCAGGCGCGAAAGCCCCGGGCUUAACCUAGGAACAGCGUUUGAUACUGCCGAGCUAGAGUGUGGGAGAGGAUGGCGGAAUUCCCAGUGUAGAGGUGAAAUUCGUAGAUAUUGGGAAGAACACCAGUGGCGAAGGCGGCCAUCUGGACCACAACUGACGCUUAGGCGCGAAAGCGUGGGGAGCAAACAGG